CUAAGGAUGGUUCUUCAGAAGCUUGCUUCUAUCGAACCGUUUUAGAAACAUCAGUGGCCAACAGAUCGCCAGAUCGUUGAGCUGCAUUGGCGGGAUUUCGCCGUCUUCGUUUCUCUUUCUUCGCGGACGAACACGCGCUGGGGCUGCAGGCUUGCAGAUCCCUGGUCCUUGACUGGAUAUGCGUUAGGGGCUUGUAGCUCAGUUGGUUAGAGCGCGCGCUUGAUAAGCGUGAGGUCGGAAGUUCAAGUCUUCCCAGGCCCACCACUUUCAUCGAGUGAGCAUUCGUCUUCUGGUUACGGGGCCAUAGCUCAGCUGGGAGAGCGCGUGCUUUGCAAGCAUGAGGUCGUCGGUUCGAUCCCGUCUGGCUCCACCAGAUGGUUUGAUCAUCGAGAUCUUGUACCGUCGUCCGCGAAACAUCACUUCGCAUCCUGCUAGUCUGGAUAGACAGUAAGAUGCGUGUUUUCUGACAUCGUAAAGAGGAGAUCGAUCCGAGUUGGGUCGUGCAGCAGUUUGUUGCGCGGACCCUUCAUUAUCUCCGGAUCAUUUUCGGCGCUUGCCUUCGGCCGUGAGGCUGAAUGCAAGUUGUAAAAUGAUCCUUUUAGCGAAGCUUGACCGCCUCGCUAUCGGAACGAUCUUACGAAGCAAGCUGGUCUUUCUAGUCAAUGUCCGGCUGCAGAUAGCGUUCGUCGAGGGCGCGUGCCUUAGAGAUUUCGGUCUCCUGGCAAUUCUGCAGACAACAUUCUGCCGAGUGUGUGGACAUUGAUAAUGAGAGC
rnacentral:tRNA from 1 species